UAAUAACUUCGGGGCGGAGCGGAAUUCUCCACCGGCAGUAUAGUCUGCGAGCGUUAAGCAUGAACUAGUGAGAUUCUAGUACCGACAGUUAAAGUCUGGAUGUGAGAAGAAAAAU
rnacentral:ncRNA from 1 species